rnacentral:rRNA from 1 species
UACGUAGGGUGCAAGCGUUGUCCGGAAUUAUUGGGCGUAAAGAGCUCGUAGGCGGCUUGUCGCGUCGGCUGUGAAAACCCGGGGCUCAACCCCGGGGCCUGCAGUCGAUACGGGCAGGCUAGAGUCCGGCAGGGGAGACUGGAAUUCCUGGUGUAGCGGUGAAAUGCGCAGAUAUCGGGAGGAACACCAAUGGCGAAGGCAGCUCGCUGGGACGGUACUGACGCUGAGACGCGAAAGCGUGGGGAGCAAACAGGG